rnacentral:lncRNA from 1 species
GUUUGUAGCCUAUCAGAUAAGACAGGUCUUGAAACUCACACCUCUGCAUGAGACAUUUGUCACCUACUCAUUGCUAUGUUAACUACUUACUUCUGAACAAUAGGUGUGACAUUAGUGUCAGAGGAAGACACCACUGUGAAUGCAGUGAGUAACCAUUCUGAGCUAACUCCAUGUACUGCUGAUAGCAAUGGAAAGAAUCAUAGCAUAAUUUCAACAAAUUGUUAUUGGAAUUUGACUUCUUCAAUACUGUUGAACUGACUUAUACUGACUGACUGAAGCUGCAGAAAUAGUUAGUUACAGAAAUACAAUGACUCCCAUCUACAUGAUCAUCGCAGUUCUGGCAACAACAGCUCUGGCAGAAGGGUCUGUUGAAUGUAAUUUCCCUAGAUCUAACGGAUCUCAUCUGUGUUUUGGAGCAGUAGGACAGCAGCUCAUUUUUCAUUUGUCAGAUAAGGCAAAUACUACGUUUACUUUAUGGAAGGAAGACAAACACAGGUUCUUAAAAUCCUCUGGGAAUGUGACUAUAGAUCAGAGACACGCAAAUCACUCUCAGUACAUCAAUGGUGGAACAUAUAAACUAGGGAAUGCCAUGAAGACAGACUCUGGAAAUUACACCUUGGAAGAAUUUGGAUCUAACGGCAUGUUGGUUAAAAAAGUACAUGUGUCUCUAGAAAUAAAAGCUCCAGUGUCAAAGCCUGCUGUGUCUCAGGAGUGUCUGUCACUAGAACAGAUGCAGGUCAUCUGCUCAUCAGAGGGAGAUGAAGCCGAGUUCAUUUUGAUGUUGGAUGGUCAAGUGCUGAUGCAAAGCCGAGAACACAACCAGUCUAUGGGACAUUGGGCAGUGGAAAAAUCCAAUAUUUCAACUGCAUCCAUCAACUUACACGGACAGAUGACUGGAAACCUCACGUGUGAAGUUUGGAACAAAGUCAGCAACGCACAAACGGUUAUUUACCUCAAAGACUGUAAAGAUAUUCUUACAAGCUUCCCUGUUGUGACUGUGGUGACAGCUAAUGUCAUCGUCUUCGUCCUUUUUGUGGCUUUGGGCCUUGUUAUAAAGUUUCACAGAACACCCACCCUUAAAAACAACAGUACGCGGAAAAAAGUUUUCAAAAAGCAACAUAUCUUCAGUGAUAAAAGCUUUUAACAUUUGCUUGUGUGUGUGUGUUUUCAGAUGUGUCAGACAAUGUUCAAGAGGAAGUUAUCUACACAGAUGUUAAAAAAACAAGGUCCACAACUGUAGAUGAUGGUAAGUCAAAACUUGUUUAAAGAGGUUUUAAAAAGCAACAUGUUACCUUCAGUGACUUUUAACAAGUGCUUUGUAACCUAGAUAAUGUUGACAAGGAAGUUAUCUACACUGAUGUUAAACAAGACCCACAGCUGUAGAUGAUGGUAAGUCAAAGCUUGUUAAACAUGUCUGUUCUGUGAUAAACACUUUCACAUAGUUUUCUCCCCCCUAGAUACCUCUGAAGAUGGCGAUAAAAUCAUAUAUUCAGAUGUAAGGGUGAUAAAACAUACAAAAAAACCCUCAGAUCUGCAGGAGAACACAAUGACGGUUAGGUGCAUUGUGGACGUGGAAAUAUAGACCUCUAAUGCACAGCAAAGACAAUGCAGCCUCUGCUGUAAAAGGAAGAUGUCAAAGACAUAUUUUAUAUGGGAAC